GAAGAAUUCCCCAUGAAUCUAAAUAUUAAUGCUGCAGCGAGUCAUUCAAAAGUCAAUUGGAGCAUUCUGAAGAAUUCUAAAGGUUCUCUCAUGAGAAAGUUAAUGAGGUUCGAAAGAAAUGGAGGCAAGGACAGCAACGAAAAUGGUGGCAGCAAGGAAAACGAGGGCAAUGAGGACAGCGAAG